GCCCGCCUAGCUCAAUCGGAUAGAGCGUCAGACUCUUAAGGCGGGUAAACCAGUUUGGUAUCUGAAGGCUGCGAGUUCGACCCUCGCGGUGGGCU